rnacentral:lncRNA from 1 species
UCUUCUUGGUGGUCAUCUUGGUCAUCAUCGUUUCUUGGUUAUGCAAACGACUUGAUUCCAGAAGUCAACAAAGUCGUUCCGGUAUUGCUGGCGGCGGUGUUGGUGUUGGUGAUGGUGGUGGUAAUAAUAACAAUAAUACUGUUAUUGUUAUAAAUAAUGACAAUGACGAUAGCCGUGGUGUUAAUUCCUCUUUAAUACAACAAUUACCUGUGGUCAUCUAUGACAAGUACAUCAAAAAAGAGGAAGGGCUGAUGUGUAGCAUUUGUGUGAUGGAUUUCGAAGAUACAGAGUUUCUCCGGCUGUUACCCAAGUGCGAGCAUGCUUUCCACAGUUUAUGUAUAGAAGAAUGGCUUAAGAUUUGUAUGACAUGUCCUGUCUGUGGGAGUCUUGUUGAAGACACCGACGUCAACCUUAUUCCUUAUAUGAAUAUCACAGGGCAAGAACUACAGGUUAGGUAUGGGUCGGGCCACAUGUUCGACUUAGAUAUUGCUUACGCACUAGAUGCCGCACGUAGGAGUUCACAUCAUCGGCGACACAGUUUUUAGUCGUCAGUUGUCUAUUAAAUAUAUGACCACAUCCCUGUUGAAAUAUGAAAUCAUAUCAAACUGAAUUCAAGUAGACCUACAGGUCAGAGCAUGACAAUAUAGUUAAAUUUAUUGAUUGAUUAUUAUAAAUUCAAACGGGCAAUGAAUAAAAUGGAUUUUAUAUUUAAUAUUGAAUGUUUAUUUUACAGAUCUCCUAAUAUUAUCUAUGUGCCAUGUUGGAUUUUAAUUUAAUUAAUUAUUCCCAAAUAUCGUGAUUGUAGAGUUCCUGUCUCUCAUCACCCAAUUUCAACAUUCCUCUUCCCUCUUCACUAUUCCACCACUGGCAUAGGAUCGAUAUAUUUUGUAUUUCAUAAUCUUUCGAUAUAUUUUUUCUUACUUGAUUAUGAUAUCAUCAUUACAAUCUUGUUAAGUUUUAACUAACAAUAAAAGAGACGAAUUGAAAUUCGUUAGAUUAGAGAAUUAAUAUUGUCCAUUAUCUAUUACUUGAUUAGUUAUUAAUUAACGGAAGAGCUAUUUCUUUUCUUAUAUUAUUCUUCAGUCCUUAAUUUAUAAGUUAUAUUCAUAUGAAGUACACGUCCGCACUGUAAACAAUUAAAGUUCGAGAGAGCAUUCAGGAGGUAAACCGUGGGGAAACCUUCUGGUGUCACUACAGUAAUCCAGAUUUAUUAGAUUGACACAAUGAUUUACCAUUGGAGAAGACGCAUGCAUUGAUCGUCUGGAAGUUCUGAUAAGAGGCAGUGAAGGGAGCCUGAGACUAGUCUAUCUUGACAAGACUGCCUCUUGUUGCCCAGCUAUUACCAUUCCAUAAACUAGAGCAAACUCUCUGGGGUUGGUUUUUCAGAUAUUGUACACCGAGUUUCUCUUGAACGUUUCUAAACACUCUAAUGGGUACGUCGUCCACGUACCAUCUACAUAUAUAAAGGAUUGAUCAUGCGUAUUUUUGAGUACGUACGCCAGGUAUUUAUAAGGUUGUAAUUACAUGUUGUUAGUGGGAUUCCAGAUAAUGGUGUAGGUGUGAAAUUAAAGCAGAGCAUCAAACCACAGUUGGAAUAGUUGUUCCCUGUUUCCUUUCCCAUGGCUGUAGAUAUUAGUGUGGAGGGUGUAUGGCCUUCCACUCAGGUUCCCAAGGAACUCAAAAUCUAUCUUGUCAUGAUUAUAUCCCUGGGAUGAUAUCUGCAUAUACGAUAGGUGGAGGAGACUAUGGGAGUAUGCAAAGCUUUUUCAUGCGUUUAGGCGACCAGGCGAUGCAAGGGUGUGCAUAUUGCAUAUAGAAGUGCCUGGUCACAUAUGCGACGUGUUUUUUUAAUGUAUUUUUUACUUUUUUUAAACAUGAAAAGAUUGGAAGAAAAUAUCCGUCCUGAAAUCUGGAUAUUCUGACGGGCUGAAAGGAGACGUCCGACGACUGGAAUAAAGGCUCCGGCGAGGAUGAGGGGAGAGGAGUAAGAUCUAGAUUGGGGAGGUGGUGGGAGGGAGGCAACGGUUUUGUUUUUGGAGUUAGGGUUUAGAAAUUUUAAAUAUUGUUAUUGAAUUGGGUUUUUUUAAGGUUCUUAAUUUUUAAUGUAUGAAAAGUUUUAUUUUUCAAAUGUUUAUUAGGUAUAUGGGUCUGGCUUAGCCGGAUCCGACCUAGAUCUGACUAAGACCCAAAAAUAGGGGACCCCCCAAAUAUGCGAUGGGGAAAAUGUGCCGGGUUACAUAUGUGCACAUAUGCGAGAAUAUGCAAAAGCAUGGAGCAUGCAUAAUUUUAUCAAUGAUCAGAUAGAAAGAGGAAAAAAUGAACGUACAUUAUAAGCGGUAACUCUUCCAGCUGAGUUGCCAGGAAUAACUUUGAUCUAUAUGUCGAUUCUUCGAAACAUGUAUUCCUGUUUGGAUUGAAAUCCUGAUCUGGAUAUUUUAUCACGUAAAAGCUGUAGCAGUCUACCUCUGUCCAUAAUCUCACCUCUACUCCCACCUCAUGUUAUUUCGACGAUGUUGAAGAAAUCAUCUGCCACAGCAUGUGAGACGAGGACGAGAAGAUCUAUAAGAAGAAAAAUAUCGUCAAGAUAGAUCCUCUUUCUCCUCUCCAACUCAAGCUUGUUGCCUAUAUAUAUACCUAUAUAUAAGCUAAAUAUCUGAUAUUCCGAACCCUCCAUGAACCAUCUUGCGCCAAACUCGAAAAAAUUCAGCUUUUACCAUCCUAUAAAUAAAUAUUUAUAUAAUUAGUUAAUGAUAUAAUGAUUAAAUUUGUUGUAAAAUUUUGGUUAGUUAUAAUAUUUUAAUACUAUUCAUAAGAUUAGAUGUCUCAUGUCUUACUAUCUCACUAUACACCGUACUACUCACCAUCAAUCACUGUUUACUUUCAUUAUGUCACCACCAUUAAAUACGUUAAUCACAUAACUGUUAAUUUUAUUAUUUAUUUAUGUUUUUUCAUUAUGUAAUUCUAGAUAAGUACUCACAUGUCUUACCAUGUCACCGUCCGUCAAACUACUCACUGUUCUUACAGGAUGACAGCAACAUCGGAGUUCGACAACUGUCAGAGAAAAAAGAAAAUAAAAAAGUAACGUAGUAUGGAUGGAUGGCAACUGUUCAUCUUAAAUCUUUUGUAGUAUCUUCUAAGAUUUUUUUAUUUCAUUAUUUUAUACCCUAGUACUAGGUAGCAUGCAAGUAUCUAAGAAAUAUUACCUCAUUACUUUUAUUGUUAUUAAAAAACUUGUCAGUAACAUUCGUACGUACGUACAACAUACAGGGUUAAUCCAACGACUAACGCAAACUGGCACAUUUAGCACAUCUUCUUUUCGGCACACCCGAUAUGUGGCGUAUAUGUAUAUAAAUAUUCACUUACUCAGCAGAAUAAAUAUUCAGUACCCCAAGAUCAAGUAAAGAACCAUUACUGAUAUUAAUCAAUGGACAUUAUCGUGUUCCAAAGAGGUAAAAGACUCCAGUUUCAUCAUCAUCGUUAUCGCCGCGGUAUCACUCAUCAUCAAUAAAGGUCCUCAUCAUCGACGUCAUCAGCAAAAACAAAAGAAAAAUAAUUCUUUAGUGGAGAAGCACGAGAGAUGGAAACAGUCAGUUCGAGUCUCAGAUGAAGCAUAUUAUAUCAAACCCUUUUUAUGUGUUAAAACUGGUGAUGGGUUCGAGUUAAAGAGAUGGCCGGAGCCGAUUUUGCAGAAUCGUCGAUCUGUCGGACAUUCCUUGCGUCAAGAAGAGGGGGAAAGCUAGGUUUAGUUGCCUAUACCUACAAUAACCGGUAGUUUAGAAAAUUAGAUUUAGUAAAAUUAUAAGAUUGUAUUAAUUAGCCACUGAUUACAAUUAGUAUUUAAAAUAAUUAUUACAACAACUAAUUUCUUUAUUUCUAACUAUUCUUUUACUUGAGCCAUCCGAUCUACAUUUGUUGGACUUCCUUCAACUAAAAGGCCCAACAUACUUUUAUUUAUUUAAUUAAAAGUAUUGUGCUUUUGGUCCCAGAUACUCUUCAUAUUCAUUCUGUUCACUCAGGAUCUAAUUACCUGCAAGCACACUGUUAUUCUUAUAUUGCACAUUAGUCCAAUUACAGAUAUAUUGAUUUAUAUCUAACUACAUUAGUCUAACUACUUCUUUACUCCCCCUCAAGCUCUGGAAUAUAUGUUAAUUAUUCCAAGCUUGUCGGAGGUUGAAGUAAUCUCAUUCUCAUCCAGGGAUUUUGUGAACAUAUUUGCUAAUUGAUAUUUUGUUCCAAUUUGCAUGAGAUUAAACACUCCUUGGGUGAUUAAGUCUAUUAUGAAAUGACAAUCAAUUUCUACAUGUUUUGUCCUUUCACGAAAGACUUUAUUAUUAGCUAAAUGGAUUGCCGACUUGUUAUCACAGUAUAGUGUUGUUUGGGUUUUAGUAUUAUUUUUCAUUUCUUGAAGUAAUUGGUGACUCCAUAUUACUUCACAUGCAGUAUGAGCAAUUGAUCUAUACUUUGCCUCACAUAAGGAUCUGGAUACAACAUUUUGUUUCUUGGAUUUCCAAGAAACUACUGAGUCUCUAAUCAUUAGUCAGAACCUAGUUACUGACUUCCUGCUUACUUGGCACGAGGCCAAAUUAAUUCGAAUCAUAAAAUCCAUUCAUAUUCAUAUUCUCUUGGUUUUAUUUAACAUGCCUUAACCUGGGGCAAUUUUCAAGUACCUCAAAACUUUAAAUAAAGAUUUUAAAUGAAUUUCUUUUGGUUCACUCAUGAACUGACCAAGCCAGUGUACUGCAAAGCUCAGAUUUGGUUCACUCAAGUAUAUAAGUUUCCCAUAAUUUUCUAUAAAAGGUGGGAUCUUUGAUAUUUUCAUAUGUAUCGUUCUUAAGAUUUAUAUUCCUUUCCAUGGGAAUUCUAGAUUCUUUGGUUCCUGAGAGGCAACUUUCUUCAAGUAUGCCUAAUGCAUACUUUCUCUGUGAUAAGAGGAUGCCUUUACUAGAGUAUGAUAUUUCAAUCCCUAGAAAGUAGUUUAAAAUAUCAAGGUCUUUUAAUUUGAAUUUAUUUUCUAAUUUUGUUUUUAAUAUACUUAUCUCUAAUUCAUUGCUACUUAUGAUAAAUAUAUCAUCCACAUAAACUACAAGGUAUAUUAUGUUUCCAUUUUUCUCUCUUAUAAAGAGAGAAUAAUCUGAUUUUUUUGUAUGAAGUGAAAAUGUUCUAAUGUAUUUUUUAGCUUUUCAAACCAAUUCCUAGAUGCCUUUUUAAGCCCAUAUAGGCUUGUUGAGUUUACAGACCCUCUUGUCACCUUCUAGGAGUAAUCCCUGAGGUGGUCUUAAGUAAACUUCCUCAUAUAAGUCUCCAUAAAGAAAAGCGUUAUUUACAUCAAUUUGGUAAAGAUUCCAUCUUUUUUGUGCAGCAAUUGCAAUUAGUAUUCUUACUGUUGUCAUUUUUGCAACAGGUGCAAAGGUUUCAUAAAAAUCAAAACCUUCUUUCCGACAAAAACCCUUGGCUACUAGCAUGGCUUUUUAUUUUUCAAUUUCUCAAUUGGGCUUGUAUUUUAUUUUAUAUACCCAUUUUGAACCAACUAACUUUCUUCCUUUGGGAAUUUCAAUUAAAGUUCACAUUUUGUUUAAAAUGAGUGUUUCCAUCUCUUUUUCCAUUGCUUCAACCCAUUUUGGGUUAUUUGAAGCUUCAUUGAAUGUAUUAGGUUCAUUGUGACUUGUAAUUUAUUUUAAAAACUCUUUAUGUUUUCUAUUUAUCUUGUGAUAGGAUACAUAAUUACUCAUGGGAUAUUUGAUUUUACUUGAAAAAAUUUCAUCAUUUUCUAUAUAAAAAAUCUUUUUAUUGGCUUGGUUUUGUUAUGACUAUCUCUAACCUUGUUUCUUUUUGUUUUAUAGAAGAAAAAAAACUGAUUUUUCUAAUUUAUUUUGAGUAUAUUGAUCUUGAUCACAAAAUCCUAAUGCAUUCUUAUUUAGAACAUCAUUUCCUGUUUUAUUUUGAGCAUUUUGAUCUUGAUCACAAAAUCCUAAUGUAUUUCGAUUUAAAACACCAUUUCCUGUUUUAUUUUGAACAUUUUCUUCAUGUUUUUCAUUAAAUCCUAAUGUACACUACAAAAAAUCAGCGCAGUUCUGGCGCCCAUCUCCCGGCGGCCUGGCCGCCGGUAGAUACUUUCGUCAGCCUGGCCGCCGGAAUCUUACACUUGUCCGCCUGCAUAAUUUUCCCUCGUAAAUGAGAGAAAAUUUCUGGUGGCCAGGCCGACGGAAUAUUUUUUUGUAAAAAAUUCCAGCGGCCUGGCCGCCAGCUCCAAUUCACCAACGGUCGGGAGAAAAAUUCCCGGCGGAUACUAAAAAAAUUCCCGGCGGCCUGGCCGCUGGAUACUAAAACCCUCAACGGUCGGGAGAAAAAUUCCCGGCGGCCUGGCCGCUGGAUACUUUUUCCCGCUUGUUUUUUUCAGUAGCCAGUGGCCUGGCCGCCAGAAAUUUUUGGAAAACCCUAAAUUUACAACUUGCGCCGCCGUGGUCCCCCGUACAGUCAAACUAAACUUAAGUGUUUCCCGGCGGCCUGGCCGUCGGAAAUUUUUUAUAUAAGAAAAAAAUUCCAGAAUCGUUUCAUUUUAUUUCCUCCCAAAAUCCUCUCCACUUCUCCCACUCCACUCUAACUAUCCCCAAAUCUCUCCGGCGAUUUUUCAUCAUCCAUCUCCGGUGAUCUUCGAAGUUUCCUCAAGGUAUGUUAUUCAUCUUCUUUUAGUUGUAAUCUUGUUUUUGUUUUUGUUAUCUAAAUCAUCUUCUUCUUCUUCAUCUUCUUCAUCUUCUUGUUUUCAUUUAUAUAGUUAUACCUUCUUCUAAUCCGGCCGGCCACUUCUCUCCGGUCAUUGUCGAAAUUAUCUUCAAGGUAUGGUUUACAUUAUGUUCAUCUUCUUCUCUUCUUUUUUUGUUGUUUUUAAUUUGGGGGUUUAUGAUUUGGGGGUUUUUUAUUUCGUGGUUUUGGGGCUUUGAUUUUAUUUAUUAAGAGUGUUUGAUUUGUGUAUUUGAUGUUAUGUAGUUAGGGUAUGAUUUUGUGGAUGAUCUUAUGUGUUUUAAUGUUUGAUUUAGUGUGUUGGUUUUAAUUUUUUAAAUGUUUUAAGUGUUAGUGUUGUUUUGAUUAAUUUACUGUUUUGAUUUUUUUAAAUGUUUUAAAUGUUAAUGUUUUGUUUGCUGGAAUUUAUUAUAGGUAGUUUUGAUGUNNNNNNNNNNNNNNNNNNNNNNNNNNNNNNNNNNNNNNNNNNNNNNNNNNNNNNNNNNNNNNNNNNNNNNNNNNNNNNNNNNNNNNNNNNNNNNNNNNNNNNNNNNNNNNNNNNNNNNNNNNNNNNNNNNNNNNNNNNNNNNNNNNNNNNNNNNNNNNNNNNNNNNNNNNNNNNNNNNNNNNNNNNNNNNNNNNNNNNNNNNNNNNNNNNNNNNNNNNNNNNNNNNNNNNNNNNNNNNNNNNNNNNNNNNNNNNNNNNNNNNNNNNNNNNNNNNNNNNNNNNNNNNNNNNNNNNNNNNNNNNNNNNNNNNNNNNNNNNNNNNNNNNNNNNNNNNNNNNNNNNNNNNNNNNNNNNNNNNNNNNNNNNNNNNNNNNNNNNNNNNNNNNNNNNNNNNNNNNNNNNNNNNNNNNNNNNNNNNNNNNNNNNNNNNNNNNNNNNNNNNNNNNNNNNNNNNNNNNNNNNNNNNNNNNNNNNNNNNNNNNNNNNNNNNNNNNNNNNNNNNNNNNNNNNNNNNNNNNNNNNNNNNNNNNNNNNNNNNNNNNNNNNNNNNNNNNNNNNNNNNNNNNNNNNNNNNNNNNNNNNNNNNNNNNNNNNNNNNNNNNNNNNNNNNNNNNNNNNNNNNNNNNNNNNNNNNNNNNNNNNNNNNNNNNNNNNNNNNNNNNNNNNNNNNNNNNNNNNNNNNNNNNNNNNNNNNNNNNNNNNNNNNNNNNNNNNNNNNNNNNNNNNNNNNNNNNNNNNNNNNNNNNNNNNNNNNNNNNNNNNNNNNNNNNNNNNNNNNNNNNNNNNNNNNNNNNNNNNNNNNNNNNNNNNNNNNNNNNNNNNNNNNNNNNNNNNNNNNNNNNNNNNNNNNNNNNNNNNNNNNNNNNNNNNNNNNNNNNNNNNNNNNNNNNNNNNNNNNNNNNNNNNNNNNNNNNNNNNNNNNNNNNNNNNNNNNNNNNNNNNNNNNNNNNNNNNNNNNNNNAAAUAAUUAUUUAAAUAAAUGUUUAGUAAUGUGAUUUUUAAUUAGUUUUUAAUAAAUGUUUAGUAAUUAUUUAUUAAUUAAAUUAUCUAAAAAUUAAAAUCACAUUUUUUAAUUAAUUGUUUAAAAAUGAAAAUGCCAUGUUAGGGUUAGGGUUAGGAUUGUAAUGUUUAGAAAUGCCAUGUUAGGGUUAGGGUUAGGAUUGUAAUGUUUAGAAAUGCCAUGUUAGGGUUAAGGUUAGGAUUGUAAUUUUUUAUAAUUAAUAAUUAAAUAAAUAAUUAUUUAAUUAAAUUUAAAUAAUUAUUUAAUUAAUUAAUAAUUUAAAAAAAGUGAUCCUUUACGCCCACACCAACAGCCUGAGAUCCACGUUUUUCACGGGAGACAUCGUCCGGAAGCUUCCGAAGACGUUAGCGGAGGCCAUGGAGAGGUCCCAUGGACAAUCUAAUGUGGAGGAUGAUGAAGCACGGAAUCUGCUACCAGUAGGCUCGCGGGGUUGCGAGGAGGGCCGGAGGCUUUGGAGUCCACGACGCGCGCUCUACGUCAAUAUACCUGCAGAAGAGGAGGGGAAUCGGCGACUCCCUUGGGAGUAGGCGAUUCGGGCUCCUUGGAUUGCUCUGGUUGGAGUGUGUGUCAAGAGAGUGAGUUGAGGGUAAAGGUCCCCCAAAGACCCCUUUUAUAGGGUCUUGGGGGACGUUUCCCCAUUCAUUCGAGUGGGGCCCACGCCAUUAAGGUACCCCAAUAAGGAAUGCCUUAAUGGCGAGAGUCCGCUCAAGUAACGGCUGGGAGUCGGCGAUUCAGGUAUGGGAAUCGCCGAUCCAGAGGUUCAAUCGCCGACUCCCCAUGAGCCUAGUGGCAGCCUACCAGAGCUGUCCACGAGGCCUAGAGUUGGCGAUUCCCCCCUGGAGUCGGCGACUUGGUAGUCCCAAUCGGCGACUCCCAAGUGUUAGCUUGAGCUCUUUACGUAGACACGUGCUCCGCACCGUGGAAGCCUUUCCGGGGGUCCGGCAUAUAGCGACGGAACCCUAUUCCUUGUCGAAGGGCGUUGCUGGGAGUGACUGACGUGUUCAGGCAUGUCUCACCAGAGGAAUACCUGGGGAGAGAACGCAAAAGUUCAUAAAGCGCCAACAGAAAGCGAGGGGGCACAGGGUAGAGCACCGGCCCCCAGCGACAGCAGCCGAAGGCCCAGCCAGCUCUGGCGGCCGCGACAGCCGCGUGCAGAGCUUUAGCCUCCGUGGGAGGGAACUGUCGGGAGGCAGGACACACCCCGACACCGAACCAAAAGCAAGUCUUCCUCACCUUAGGCGGAGUUUGAGCACUUCCGCCUGCACGGCCCAUGAGGGAGGACACAUCCUCCUACAGGGAUGCGGGUAGGUUUUGCGAAUACCACCAGGACAAGGGACACACGACCGACGAGUGUCUGAACCUGGCUAAGGUAUUAGGCUCGCUAAACGCCGUGCCCGAAGCACCCCCGGCCCCACUCGUCAGAACACCCGCCAUCAUCCCAACCGGAUACCGAGUGACCAAACAGGAGCCAGUGGAGGAACCAGUCGGGGACAGCCUGACGAUAGCGGGUGGGACCGCAUCCCGUGGUGGUGACAUCCUGACGAUACGCCACCGAUGUCGAUCGGGCGGUCGAGGGGAAACGUCCGCUUCUGGAUGCAUACAUCAUAUUCACAGAGGCAGACAUGAAGGACGUCACUACCCCGCAUGAUGACCCACUAGUGAUAAUCCCGAUUUUCCAAAGACGGAACAAAGAGAAGGUGUAGCUCCACAGAGUGUUGAUCGAUACCGGGGCAUCGAUAGACAUCCUGUACUGGAACACUUUUGUGGAUUUGGGCCUCGCCCGCGUGGAUCUACUCCCCAGCAGGGCCCCGAUAAGAGGGUUAGGCCAGUCGGAGGUCUCGGUGACCUUAGGCUGCCACGCCCAGGUGAAAACGGUCAAGGUCAACUUCACGGUAGAAAAUUUCACCUCUAGUUACAACGCCAUCUUGGGGCGAACGGACUUACACGCUUUCCAAGUGGUAACGUCAUCUCUCCACUAGUGCUUGAAGUUCCCGACCCCCGCCGGCGUAUGCACAGUGAGGGGGUCCCAGAAAAAGUCCCGCGAGUGUUGCUUCACCUCGGUGGAGGAGGUAAUGACUUCCGAAGAGGGAUUACCGCACGCGCUCUGAGAGGACACCCUGAAGCCGGAACCGGCGUCAUCCACGGUGCUAGCGCCACUUGCGAAAAAUGAGGUACAGGUAGGAAGGGACCUUCUGGAGGAGUUCUAAAAGAACCUGGAGAGCCUCCACAGAGAGAACGAGGACCCGUACGACGUCCGAGAACAAACUGGCAGUCGCCCAGGGAGCUAGGGUGGCCCGGCAGAAAUUGCGGCCCCUGAGGGCCGAGAAAAGGGACGUCGCAGAGGCAAAAGUGGCGAAGCUCCUAGAAGCGGGCUUUAUACGCCCGGUCCGGUACCUAGAGUGGUUCUCCAACGUCGUAAUGGUUAGAAAGGCCGACGCCGGGUGGCACAUGUGCGUUGAUUUCACGAACUUCAACAAGGCAUGCCCCAAGGACUGUUACCCCUACCGUCGGUCGACAGACUUGUAGACCAGUGCUCGGGUUGCGAGAUGCUCAACUUUAUGGACGCGCACUCGGGAUACAACCAGGUCCCCAUGACUAGGGAAGACGAGGAAAGGACCUCGUUCAUCACCGACUCAGGAACCUUCUGCUUCAAGGUAAUGCCUUUCGGGCUGCGUAACGCAGGGGCCACUUUUCAGUGGCUCAUGGACAAGGUCUUCGAAGAGCAGAUUGACAGAAACAUCGAGUUGUACGUCGACGACAUACUAGUCAGGUCGAAAAAAGCAGACACACACCUCGCCGACUUAGAGGAGACAUUCCGCAGUAUCAGGAGGGCAGGCCUUAAGCUAAAAGCAAAGAAGUGCGCCUUUGGAGUGAAUGGGGGCCAUUUCCUGAGAUUUAGGAUCACCCCGGAGGGCAUUAAGCCCAGAAGAGAAAAAGUGGAGGCAGUCAUGGAAAUGACCCAACCACGGACCAUAAAGGAGGUCCAGAAGCUGAAUGGAAGGGUGGCGGCCCUUAGUAGAUUCCUGCCAAGAGCGGCGGACCGGUUGCGCCCGUUUUUCCACUUGCUAAAAUCGCCUGGACAAAGAGUUGUCUGGACAAGAGAGUGCGAGGCAGCGUUCGGCAAGUUGAAGAGGCGGAUGGCACACCUGCCAACAUUGCGACCACCCCGAAGCAGCAAACCGCUCGCAAUGUACAUCGCCCACUCAGAGGCGACUGUCAGUGCAGUCCUCCUGUCAGAGGCGGAUGGGACGCAAAAGCCGGUUUACUACUACUCCCGGUCGCUGCAGGGAGUAGAGGAAAGGUACCCUGACAUAGAAAAGCUGGCCCUGGCGGUGGUAUCGGUGGUCCGCAGACUAAGGCCGUACUUCCAUGCCCACACGGUUACCAUCCCGACGGCCCACCUCCUGCUCCAACUCCUGCAAAGGUCGGACGUAUCGGGGCGGCUCACAAAGUGGUCCAUGGAGCUCAGCGAGUUCGACAUAGAAAUCGUCCCGGCUAAGGCAAUAAAGGGCCAGGCCAACUUCAUGGCAGAGCUCAACCCCCGAAGGAAGGCCCCCGCAGUCAAAGAAUGGUGGACGGCCCACAUCGACGGGUCGACCAGCUACACGGGGUGCGGCGCCAGAGUGGUGAUAAGAGCCCCAACGGAGGAAAGGAUCGAAUACUCGAUUCACUUCGGUUUCAGGCGACGAACAACGCCGUGGAAUACGAAGCUCUCCUAGCCGGGAUAAGGCUGUCCGUGUCACGGGGAGUAGAAAGGGUUCACCUGUACACAGACUCCCGGUUAGUCGCGAAUCAAAUAAGAGGCGACUUCAUGUCGAAGGAGGACUCCAUGGCUACGUAUGUGGCAGAGGCCCGAACCGCUUUAGGGAGACUCGACGACUGGAAAAUCAUCCAGAUAGGCAGGAAAAACAACGGGGAGGCUGAUACUCUGGCCAGGUUAGGAGUGGCCCCGGGGAGGAAAGAAGGCAAGUGGGUCCGUAUAGAGAGCCAGGAGUACCCCACGAGGGCCGGAGUAGCCGGCAUCCCAACCUGCGCACUAAUAACAGCAGGGGAUUGGAGAACGCCAAUACUGAGGUUCCUCAAAACAUGCGAGGGGCCAAGUGACCAAAUGGGGCAAGGAAGCUAAGGAAUAGAGUGGCAUGGUUCGUUGCAGAUCGGGGAAAACUAUACCGACGGUCAGCCACAGAGGAGCUCCCUUGCGACUAUGCGUCUCCCGCGAGGAUGGUCGGGCGAUCGCACGGAGCAUCCACGAGGGGCAAGCGGCGUCCAACAAGGCGAUCGGGCCCAGGAAAAGUAGGUGGCCAGGGAGGACUACUACUGGCCGGAGUCGAUAAAAGACUCUGAGGGAAUAGUAGAAAGGUGCGACGAGUACCAAAGACACUCAAACAUCCAGAGGCGACCAUCUACCACGAUAAAAGCAGUAACUACGUCCGUCCCAUUCGCGCGAUGGGAGCCAUAAGUUUUAACCAAAGAAUUAUGGUUGCUCCUCCAGAGUUUGUUCAACGUACCAUUGAUAUAAGUUUGUGUAGCUUUGCUUCCACUUAAAUCAUAUUCAGCCUACAUAUUCAAAACUUAUAAGUUUUGAAAAAUUAAUAAAUAUUAUAAAAAAUAUAUAUACUUACAGUUAAUAUUUUUAACGCGUCCUGAAAAUUUUGUUGUGGUUGAUGACGCCACUCAAUGUCGUACGGGAAGAGAGUAUGGUCUUUUGCUAAAAGAGACAUUCUUGUAGUUAAUUUCUUCGCUAUUUCAUCCGUCGCUUGGUUCGUGUUGUCAAACAUGACCUUCCAUUUUGUACCUUUUUCUGGAUGGUUAUGGGGGUGGUCUUUUGUACGACCACGACCCUUCUUCUGUGGAGGCACAUUCGAUGUGGAUGGUCUCGCAUCUAAUUAAUUUACAUAUUUAAGAAUUAAUUUUUUAUAGAAAUCAUGAUAAUAUUUAAAAUAUAAAUAAUAAACUGACCACUUGAACUGGACUCAUCGAUUGAGCGACGAGAUGUAACCAUCGUCAGUGCCAUGAAUGGUGUGAUAACACUGAUCAUAACGAAAAAAGUAAACAUAAUUUGAAAUAUUUAAAUUUUAAAAUAAAAUUAGUUAUUUUAAAUACAUAGCCAGACACCCGUAUAUGGGGUCUUGGUCUGACACAACAAUCAAACAUUUUUCCUAUUGUAAUUUACAUUCUUUAUUAUUAGAUACAACAAAUCUUUGAAGUCAUCGUGAGAAGAGUUGUAUUCGAUUUUGAAUGAAUGUGUGCCACCACAAUCCUUCAACACUCUAGCUUCGUAUCCUAAUACUAGAAUCUGACCGGUUUCCAUUGUUUGAGGAUUUGUCGACCAUAUUUUUGGACAGUUGUGAAAAUGAUGACCGUUGACUCCGCAACGGAAACAAGCAAAAACACGACAAUAAUAAUCUAUGUUUUUGUAAAAACUACGUUGAAUCUGAUUAAGUCGCUCGAGUCGUUCAUAUCGUUCGACGAUUGCAAGUAGUUGACUCAUUCUUUACUGAAAAAAAGAAAUAUUUAUAAUCAACAUCGUGCUGGACUAAGAGUACUUUUGAUUAAGUUUUUAAAAAAUAUUUACAAAAUAAAAACUAACUAUUCUAAUUUGCAAAUUAUCUAAAAAUUAACAUACAUAGUAAGAAAAAACUAAAAAACUAAAAAAUGAAAAAAAUACUAAGCGUAGUAUUGUUGCACGUUGUCCGCGUGCCAGGUGUUCGGGACCAUUUUCCUGUAUUGCCGCCGUAAGCGAUAGGUGCUUGCCCGUAUCUCUUCUUUGACGAUGUAGGACCCCUCGAAGUUGGAUAAUGACUUAUUUCGUGGUCUAUUCUAUUAUGUUAUAUUAACCUUCCGCGUGACGAGAGUCCCUGGCAGGAAUACCUUUUUUUCGUACUUGGCUGUUGUGGUAUCUUGAUAUGCUGGACUUGUACGAUUCAUUUUGUAGGUUCGCCUCGUCAUAAGUUUCCUCCCUCAACUCUAGUUCUGUUGCUAGGUUUUGGUCAAUGGUUUGUGGUGAGAUAUGCCUAAUUAUGGCAGUCACUCAAAACAACGCCCUUCAACAAGGACUAGGAUUCCGCCGCUAUAUGCCGGACCUCCGGAAGGCUUCCACGGUGCGGAACAGGUUCAUCGUUAAAUCGCCGAGCUAAGCCGUAAAUGUGAUUGGACUACUGAUGAAGCAUGAAAUCUACUACUAGUAGGCUCGCGGGGUUGCAAGGAGGGCCGGAGGCUUUGGAGUCCACGACGCACGCUCUACGUCAAUGUACCUGUAGAAGUGAGGGGAGUCAGCGACUCAGAUGUGGGAGUCGGCGACUCAGGCUCCUUGGUUUGCUCCGGUUGGGGUCUGUCAAGUGGGAAUGACUUGGGAGAGGAGGACCCCCAAGGACCCCUUUUAUAGGGUCUUAAGGCCAUUUCCUCAUUCAUUGCUGUGGGGCCCACUCCAUUAUGGUGCCCAAUUAAGGGUGUCAUAAUGACAUGGGCCCUCCCAAAUAACGGUUGGGAAUUGGCGACUCAGGUAUGGGAGUCGCCGAUUCAGAGGUGGAGUCGCCGACUCCCUUGUGGUCAAGUCCUCGGUCUACCAGACCCGAGUGACCUGCCUGGGGUCGGUGAUGCACCCCUGGAAUCGACGACUUGGCAGUCCCCGUCGGCGAUUCCCAGGUGUUGCCUUGAGUACUUGACGUAGACACUUGCACCGCAUAAUGGAUGCCUUCCGGGGGUUCGGCGUAAAGCGACGGAACCCUAGUCCUUGUUGAGGGGCGUUGAUGGGAGUGACUGACGUAAUCAUGCAUGUCUCACGAACUACCAAAUUGCCGACUUUAAGGGUAAAUUGCCGAGUUAGGGCUCAGAUCGAAAGUAUGGUAGAUUGCACAUCUAGCCCUUGGAAACUCGACGAUUUUGCCCCCAAAUCGACGAUUCCAUACUUGAAUCGCCGAUUUACGGCCGUUACUCGUCGUCUUCCUAUGCCAUAAUUGGCCAUCAAUGCGCCCCUCCUCGGUGCUCCCCCCAAGACCCUAUAAAAGAGGUCCCAAAGGGUCACUCCAAGACACAACACAAGUUCCAACCAAACUAGAGCAUACGAGAGAGAAUCGCCGUUUUCCACACCUAAAUCGCCUAUUCUCCUCUGAUGGGAUUUGACGUAGAGAGCACGUCGUGGACUCCAGAGCCUCCGGCCCUCCUCGCACGCACCACCGCGAGCCCCUGGUAGUAGAUUUCGUGUGGCUUUUUCAUAAGCCACACAAAAUAAAAUUACCUAUUUAGGGAUGGCUUUUUCAUAAGCUAUCCCUAAUUUAUCCUUUUAGGCACGGCUUUUUCAUAGGGCGCCUGAUAAGGGUGGAACCUGAUCAGUGCUCGGACGACGCUUCGAACAAGCGUAGGGCCAUGAACUCCACAAGAAAUCCCUCGGACACCACAAUCACCCAUGCUUUUUCUGGAAGAGAUUCUCUCUCACUCCAAAUAACCUAACCUCUAAUGAGUGAUGAUGAUUCCUAUUUAUAGGAUCCUUAUGGGGUAAUCUUGUCAUUAGCGCUCUAACCGCCUAAUCGUCCAGAUCUGGCCCGAGUCGACUUUUAGCCCUCGACCUCCUUAGAUGUCGACUUGGAAAAAGUUAUCUUGAAAGGUUGACUUCCUCAUAAAGUCGUUUGGGGCCUCCCAUUUCCUAUACGGGUACUUCCACCCAUUUCGGGUUAUCUCAAUCUGGUGUCGUGAUCAAGUUCGAGAUACUGUAUCACCAGUACUCCCCCAUCGACACAUACUAGGGCUCCUAGGGACUGCUUCCUGGUUUCGUUGAUGCUAUCUGAGUGUCAGAUCAAACAUCACCAGUACUCCCCCCUCCUUUGCUUGUGAUGGUAAGGGUUCCUACCUUGGUACUACCAGGGUUCCCCCCCAUGCAGCUACAGGAGGCCCGUUCUUGUGUUCGUAAGAUUUGAUGCACGACUUACAUUUUCGGGAUGCCCCCCUUUCUACCCCAACCAGUGCCUGCUUCGAAUAACUGAAGUGAAUGGGUUGUUUUCCGUGCAAGCUCGUUCCUGACCCUUCAAUCUUUGUUGGCUUGAGCACGUAACCGAGCUUGCUCGGAUCUCUUUUUCCCUUAUCUAUUACUUCCUUAGGCCGUGGUAUUUCUUACAACACCCCUCGGGUGGUGACUUCAGAGGUAUUUCUUACACCCCCUAACUUGGUGACUGUCCAGAGGUAUUUCUUACACUCCCUGGCUUGGUGACUGUCCAGAGGUAUUUCUCACACCCCCUGGCUUGGUGACUGUCAUAACGUAUUUCAUACACCCUCCUGAAUAGGUGACUUUCUAAAGGUAUUUCUUACACCUCCUGGCUUGGUGACUGCCUAGAGGUAUUUCUUACACCCUCCUGGCUAGGUGACUAUCCAAAGGUAUUUCAUACACCCCCUGGCUUGGUGACUGUCCAGAGGUAUUUCUUACACCCUUUGGCUUGGUGACUGUCCAGAAGUAUUUCUUACACCUCUUGGCUUGGUGACUGUCCAGAGGUAUUUCUUACACCCACUGGCUUGGUGAAUGUCCAGAGGUAUUUCUUACACCCCAUGGCUUGGUGACUGUCCAGAGGUAUUUCUUAGACCCCCUGGCUGGGUGACUGUCCAGAGGUAUUUUUUACACCCCCUGGCUUGGUGACUCUCUUGCUCAACUUCUUGGACUCGACUUCCCUGAUCAACUUUUUGAGUCCGACUUACUCUGCUCGACUUUUUGGGUUUGACCUACUAUGGGCAACUUUUUGAUUUUGGCCUUCUCUGGUCAACUUCUUGCUCGAACCAUAUAAAUACGCAAAAAAAAAUCAGUUGGGAACCCCUCUUUUGGGUUCUCACAUGAGAACCUCAUCCUCGCCUUUCAUUUUCUUCCUACAAAUCCUGACCGUUGGUCAGAUACCUGUUGUUUCCAUUUUCUCCUUCUCUCCUCUUCUACCCUUUUCUUAAUAAAUUAAUUCCAAAUAUUCACUUUCCUUCUCCCUCGUAAUAUUUCUUGUCAGAAAGAAUUUUUUUUUCUCCCAUCGUACAUGUCACUCUCCCUCUCCCAUGUCAGGUUCUGAUUUUCUUUCUUUUCUCCCAUCGCCUUAUUUUCUUUUUUCCCAACUCCAGCUGUUCUUUUCCAUGUCAGGUUCUGUUUUUUUCCCUACUACGUACGUCGUCUAUCUCUCCCCAGUCGGACUUUGUUUAGUUUUCUUCUUCCGUCUUCCCGCCGCCGGCGUCGGAUAUUCAAUUUUUCCCUCUAUCCCUCACAACGAUUUUCUCUUUAUCUUAAUUUUUCCCAUGGGUUCUUCUUCUCUCCUUCUUACACUCUUUCUCUCUCCCUCCAUUUUUAUUUUUUUCCUUCUUCUUCCGUAAAUUUUUUUUCAGUUGUACUUGUUAUUCUCUUUUCUAUUACUUCUAAUUCUUCUUAGUCUAGUCACAUCUCCCUACUUUUAUUCUCUCUCACAUUACCUCUACCUACAUCUACCUUUUUCAGUCUACUUUCCUAGUUGUGCUAUUCUACCGUUCCGGUUCUUGUCUUCUUUCUCUUGUAAUUAUCUUUCAUCCCAUCCAAUCGUUCUCUUCUCAAUUCUCUCCCUCUAUUACACUUCGAUGUUCCUAUAAUAUGUCGAUAUCCAUUGCUAUUUCAUAGCAUUCUUCAGCUAAAAUAAUUAGAUCACGUCAACAUCUACUAUCUACAUUGUCCAAAUCUUUCUCUAUCCAAAUCAUUUUUGCCACAUUGUUCUUACCUACUUUUCAUCUGUCAAUACUCGGUUUUGCCACCUUGUCCUAAUCGUCCUAUGUUUCUUAUUUUUGUUUUUUCCCCAACAUCUUCUUCUUCAAUCUCCCUUACUUUUCAUCAUCCUCUUUCUUUAGCAUCUCGAGUUCUUCCAACCCAUCGUCUGUCCUCAUUUUGUUUAUCCUUCGAAUUGAAGGUUAGUGUUCUAUUGUUUUUAUUUUUGGUUUUCAUUUCUUACAUUUAAUACUUAUUUUCUUUCCCCAUAACAUAUAAUAGCUUCUCCACCACCAUUUGCGAAUCAAGAUCGAUCUUCCAUCCUGCAAGUUUCCCCCAACACCAAUUCAAUUUUCGUGACCCCCCUCAAUAUCGUUCACAACAGUUUACAUACGAUCAUACAAAUACAUCUUGCAACGUUAGCCUGAUUUUUCAUUUCAAUUCUCCUCAAUGUCAGACCAAUGAUAAUACUAUAGUUUCCAAAGUAGAUUUUUCAACUUCCUUGGAUCCUGAUGUCACAGGUAGUACCAUAUUUUAGUCAGAUUUCGUCCAAUUCACCUCAGCUGAGAUUAGGGAAUCCUCUGCUUAUAUGAGUUAUGGUACUGUUAAAACACCAAAUAAUUUGAAUUUCCAAUUCAAUUCCCCUCAAUGUCAGACCAAUGUUAAUCCUACAGCUUGUAAUGUCAAUAUAUCUACCUCCUUGGAUGCUGAUGUCAUAGGGAACACAUUAUUUGAUUUAGAAUUUAUCCAAUGUAUCUCUGUUGAUAUUAGGGAAUCCUCUGCUGAUAUUCGGGCAACCUCGGCUAAUAUGAGUUGCGGAACUGCUAAAACCCCUAACAAUCAUUUUAAACGAAAAUAUUCCUCUCCUUGUCAAAAUCCAACAUCUCCUGAUCAUGAAAAUGGUUUUUCUGGAUAUAGUAAUUCCAAUUAACCAUGUCCUAUUGUCGGUCAGGUUUUUCCUACGUUUGAAAUGGUUGUUCAAUCCUACUACGAUUUCGCAUCCGAUAUGAGAUUUUCUGUUCAUUUAGGAUCGACGAAGAAUAUAUUGGACAAAGAUAGUGCUCAAAAAAUUCUUAUUAGAGGCAGGUCAUUUGGAGCGAAAGGAUUCCUAGCGAAGCAGAGCUCUGCGCACUUGAGUUCCUGUCCGGUUUCCCACGGAGUUCCCCGCUUGGCGCUUGCUUGCGCGUCUUGGAGUACUGGUCGGGUUUCACCCCCAUCAUGUCAUAUAACCAAAUGUAUAUGAAAACUAAAUGUGAUAUAAAAUGCAUCCUUUUUAAAAUGUCAUGAAUAUAUAUUCAAGCAAAGGUAUUUUAAGACAACAUUUUUUUAGCAUCCUCAGCUUUCCGGAGUUCAAUUAGCUUGGCACUCCUUAUCCUCAGUAUUGAUGUCCUCCUUUCUUCUUCUUCUUCUUCUUCUUCGUAGGUUCACCAUUAGAAUUCACAAACGUAGAAGUCCUCUCUCUGGUAGAGGACAAAAGGGACCCCACGGUUACACUUGCUGGCCGCAAGAUCUCUUGAAAUCUAGUCAACAGCCUUGAGCUCUGCUGUCGUAAGUUCGUGCGGGACAUCCAGAUAUACUCGAUCAGCAUCGACUCAACUUUCCCGACUCCCGGGAACAAAUUCAGAAAUUUGAAGAAGAAUUCCUUCUUCCACGACCCCCCAUAGUUUGUAGAGAAUUCAGCGAUGAGAUCUCGGUUGUGCAGUCUUUUGGACACUCCAACACGACCAGAUUCGGAGUAGGGAACUUUAUUCAGCUUAUAAUACCAAAAGAACAAGCCCGCAGCAGAAGGAAUGUUUAAACUCCAACAGAUGUUGGACAAUCCUCGAAGGUAAACAUAAAAUGCCACAUGAGACUGUGACAGCGACACUCCAAUUUUAAGCAAUAUCUCGCUCUUCAAAGUAGGAAUGGGGAGCUCGUAAAAGGAGUAGAGUUGCUGAAGUGCGGUAGAUGGUAGGAGGAGAGCAAUGGAACAGUAGAAGUUCUGGAUAUUGGGUUGCUGCAACCCUAAAUCCGUUUUAGUUUUCAAAACCAAUUUCUUAAUUAAAUUCCAGAAUAACAAAUGUUUCCCUUUUAUAGGGUACAAUUAAUAGAACACACUAACUAAGCAGUUCCUUAGUGACAUUUUAAUAAUUAAAUAGGUUCCACUCUUUACCCAAAUUAGGUAGUCUAAUUAAUAAUGAAAUCAUCCAGCCGUUUAUGUUUAAAACGAAUUCUGGCAUCUCUAUUUCCCAACGUCGAACCACUGUCUGCAACAGGGUUUUUCUCAGCGAUCUCCUCGGGCGAGCUCUGUUCCUCUAUGGUCAUCAGACGGCGAUAGGAAUCUUCCAGUACUCCAGCACAGCUCCGGGCGACUCUAUCAGCUCUCUGAAGUGCUUGAAGUACUGAUGAGACAUGUCUGAGUACGUCAGCCACUCCCUGCAACGUCCUUCGAUAAGGACUAGGGUUCCAUCGCUAUAUGCCGGACCCCGGAAGGCUCCCACGGUGCGGAAUAAAUGUCAUUGUCAAAUCGUCGAGUUUACUUGUAAAUCGUCGGUUGGGCUACCAAGUCGCCGACUUUAGUGGAUCCCCCCUUCCCACAUCAUCAAUCGGUGAUUUUCCGAGAUAAAUCGUUCAUUUAUCAGUGGUGGACACGGGGAUCUCACCCAAUUUGAGUCCAGACUCAGCCCUAGCUUGAACCGCAGGAGCCUCUUCUGGAAUCGCCGAUUCUUGGAAAAAAUCACCGAUUUCUCGGGUGAGGGCUUGAGCAGUUCAUGCGGAAGGGCACGAGUAUUCGGGUGAGCAGGCAAGUCGGCCACCUGAGUCACCGAUUCCCGACUAAGAUGGGGUGAACCCUCAGCAGUCGGUGAUGGAAUCGGCGAUUCCUGGGUGGCGAGUUCCUCGACCAAACUAGCGCCAACAUCAAACUCGGCGAAUUCCCAGACAAAUUCCCAGACAACAUCAAACUCUGAUUCAGUCAUUAUCGUCAUGGAACUCGGAGAAUUAGGUUUUACCGGUGAGAAAAAAAUCGACGAUUUAAGAGGAAAUCAGCGAUUAGAAUUGCGAAUUCGGGAGAUAAGGUUUAGGCGAAUUUUGAGGAGGAUUGUAAGGAGUGGAGUAAAGAAUAAAAUAAUCUCACCCCUAUUUAUAGUCCUUGAAAAAAUUGCAAAAACACCCCAAAAAAUCCAGAAAUUACACAAAAGAGAAUCAGUGAUUGAUCUCCAAAUCCUCGAAAUCACGGGAAAUCGGCGAUUUGCUUAGAGAAAUCGCCGAUUGCAGGCAAAAUUCAUGGGAUGGGGUAGAAAAUUUUCCAUAUUUGAAAAUUUUGCAAAUAUUCCUUAAGAUCCCAAGGAUCUUCUAAGAGAUCCGCCAAUUCACAGUAAGAAUCACCGAUUUUUCAAGAAAAUCGCCGAUUCACAUAGGAAAAUGACAAAAUUACCCACACUACUAUCCUGAGGCUAGAAUCACCAAUUUGAGCCCCCAAAUCAUUGAUUCAGAAUCAACAUCUCUAAAAUCUGUCUGAAAGGCACGAUUUGGGGGGGGGAGUAUCACAAACUCUACUCGAAACUUCUGUCUGUACGGCCAGAAGUCGUCAUGUAUCAACUUUUGGGAGGAGUAUCACAAACUCUCCUCGACAUUUUUGUCACUCCGACCGGAAGUUGUCACGUUCUUGGGAAGGAGUAUUACAAACUCUCUCCGACAGUUCUGUCGCUUUGGACAGAAGUUAUCACAUUUUAUGUAUGUACUCAGGGGUGAGUAUCACGUACUCUCUCCAAUACUUUUGUCGCGUUGGCCAAAAGUUGUCAUGUUUUAUGCUGGUACUUAGGGGGGAGUAUCACGAACACUCUCCGAAAUUUUUGUCGCUUCGGCCGGAUGUUGUCAAAUCUGAGCACGGUAAAUCUGUCACUAUGGCCAGAUUUACUGAGGAUUAAUUUGAGCAANNNNNNNNNNNNNNNNNNNNNNNNNNNNNNNNNNNNNNNNNNNNNNNNNNNNNNNNNNNNNNNNNNNNNNNNNNNNNNNNNNNNNNNNNNNNNNNNNNNNAAAUAAAUGUUUUAGACUGAUUUAGCUGUUUUGCAGGAUGUUUUCUUCUUUGCAGGUAUGAUUUUGUCACUUUGGCCAGAAUCAAAUCUAUUUUAUCGGUAUGGCCUCAAUAGAUCAAGGAUCAUUUUAUCACUUUGGACUUAAUGAUCCUAACCCAUCUUGUCGCUAUUGCCUUGAUGGGUUACCCGUCGUUGCGGCCAUAAAAAGUCGCACUGUCGCUUUGGUCGGAGUUAGACUAUAAAUUGUAGUUCUAUCGCUUUGGCUAGAACUAGAUUCUAUCGCCUUUGCCAUAAUCAGGUCCAUUUUGUCGCUUUGGCCUUAAUGGACCAAGAUUUAUUUUGUCCCUAUGCCCUUAAUAAUUCUAUCCCAUCUUGACGUUAUGGCCUUGAUGCAGAUCAAAGUCGUUUUUGACCAGAGUUGGAAUAUAAAGCAUCGUUCUGUGAUCUAGAAGUAGAUCCAUUUUGUCGUUAUGGCCUUAAUGGAUAAAGAAUCAUUUUGUCUCUAUGGCUUUGAUGAUACUAUCCUAUCUUGUCUCUAUGGCCUUAAUGUGGAUCACACUUAACCUUUCUUUGGGGAGGGUGGUGAUACUGGCAUGACACGCAUGUCAUCUUAUGCUCUCUUCAGGGGGGUACUGCUGAUACAUGCCUGAUUACGUCAGUCACUCCGAGCAACGCCUUUCAACAAAUACUAGAAUUUCGUUCGCUUUAUGCCAGACCCCUGGAAGGCUGCCACGAUUGCGAAACAAAGGUUACCGUCAAAUCGUCGAGUGUAACCCGUAAAUCGCUGAUUGGGGCUACCAAUUUGUCAUAUAGCAAAUCGCCGAGUGGAGGCCGAGAUAAUCAACAUUGGUAUGGUAGGCUACAGCUCUCGUCCCUUAGAACUCGUCGAUCUUGUCCCUAAAUCGGUGAUUCCCGUCAUGAAUCUCCGAUUCACGACCGUUACUCGUCGCCAACACACGUUAUAAUGGCCCAUUAAUGCGCGCCAUGAUGACCCAGGCAUGAUGCCCGCCAUGGAGUUCUCCCCCAAAGAUCCUAUAAAUUAAAGGGGUCCCAAAGGGUCACUCCAAGGAAGAUCACAAGUUCCACACCACCAGAGCAAUAUAUGGAGAGAAUCGCCGAUUCCCACACAAGAAUCGCAUAUUCUCCUCCUACAGGAUUUGAUGUAGAACAUGUGUCGUGGAUUCCAGAGCCACCGAUAUCACCUUGCACCACUGUGAGCCCCUGGUAGCAUUUCCCGUUCUUCAUCAGAAAGAUAAAGAAAAUUGUGGAAAGGAAUCUCUGUCGUGAAAACCAUUUCCGUGGCCAAAAAUCAGUAGCCACCAGACCUACAACCACGACACCUCCCAUAGCUUUAGCCACGGAUAUUUCCAUUUAGCCAGUGAACUUGACCGUGACUGUUUCCCUGUUUUCUUGUAGUGUUCAAACGGGGUUUGGUUUCAAGGGAAUCUCUAGCAAUGGAGUUGGUCGCUAAAGCUAUUGGUUCAUGGCUAACUUAUGGAUGGAAUUGGUUGUAUUACUUCUUCUCCUCUCUCAGUCAACAAGGAUGAGUUGAUUUGGUAUCAACCAUCGCAGACAUAUAGAUGAUCGCAUGUAAAAUAAUCAUCCAUUUUUUUCGGUUUAGAAAAAUUUGAUGUUCAGUUGUAUUUGUAUUUUGUACAUUUUUAAAAAAACUUCAUUUGUUGUUUUACCUUUCAAAAAAAAAUUAUGAAUUUAUUUGGGAUGGGUUAAUCAAAAAGUCGACCGGGUCUGAUCUAUUUAUUUUAUUAAUAUUAUUUUGAUAGAACCAAGAUCAGAUGCAUGCGACAUACAAUAGUAUGGCUAGGUGCGCCAACCUGAGCCUGAUGGUAAAAAAUACAUCUAAUGGUAUAUAAAAACUUGAAUAACGAUAAAAUUUCAAGAUCCAAUAUCUGAAUGUGCGCACCUAAUCAAACCCAAUCUGGCCGCAAGACCUUUUCUACAUGUGUAGUUUCUUUGUUUUUAUUAUUAUUAAUAUUCAAAAUGAAUUUGGAGAUGAUGAUACCCUUGGUCCAUCAUACUAGGUCUACCAGUCCCGGCCCAGCCGGGCCGAUAAGGUGGGUCCGACAUAGUAAGCCAUCAAAGGGCCUGGCCUAGUGGGGCUCUAGGCCCAGUAAAAAAUUAUAUAAAUACCCCUAGGGGUUGACCUAAACAAGGGGAUUGAUUCAUUUAAUAAAUAAGAUACUUUACAGAAUUCAAUAGGGAGUGAUUUUCUGGUGCCAUACUUAACACUAAGGGACCAAGAGAGAAAUUGCAUAAAANNNNNNNNNNNNNNNNNNNNNNNNNNNNNNNNNNNNNNNNNNNNNNNNNNNNNNNNNNNNNNNNNNNNNNNNNNNNNNNNNNNNNNNNNNNNNNNNNNNNAACCAACAUAUUUUUUUUGCCCGUUUCAAUUAUUUUCACCCCAUGCUCCGAAACCUAUUACCCCGUCCAUAUUUUGGAAAAAAUGUAAGAAAAAUUUGCAGAAGGAAAAAUAAUACUAUUGAUAAUAUAGACUGUCGUCGGAAAGAAAUUACGUUUUGUAGACAAAUUAAAUACUCCAAAAAAUGACUAGAAAAAACACAAACGAACGAUAGAAUACUAGGUCUAAAUGGGUGAAAAAUAGUAAAAGAAAACAUCGUAACAUAGAGGGAUAAAAAGAUCAUGAAGAUAGAUGUGCGAAUACUAAUGAACCAGGAGAGAUUGAGAACGUUGAAUUUUAUUGUUGGACGCCCUAGAUUCAUGUCACAUGUCUGGAGAUUUGAGAGGAAAACCUUGAACCAUGUCGGCCUGUUGAAAACAACUAUAUUUCGAGUGAAAAAUUGAAUACGACAAAACACAAAAAAAAAUCAGAUUAUAUCUCAUAUAAUCUCUUUCUUUGAAAAUCGACAAACUUAUCAACAAAUCGACAAUCUUUCAAAAAUUCAACAACCUCAUCUUGAUCUGAAAAUUUAUCAAUUAACCUCAUCUCAACAAUAUGAUAUCAUUCUCUAAAUCGCUCUCAUUUGAAAAUCUCCCUAGAAAAUCACUUUCAUCUGAAAAUCGCUCUCGUCUGAACAUGCAACUAGUUAUAUACCUUAAAAGGAAACUAGUUAUAUACUUGACUGAACCUAGUUAUAUACCUUAACAUGCAACUAGUUAUAUACCUGAACCUGUCCCUAGUUAUAUACCUUAUCAUGCAACUAAUUAUAUACAUGAACAUGCAAUUAAUUAUAUACCUUCNNNNNNNNNNNNNNNNNNNNNNNNNNNNNNNNNNNNNNNNNNNNNNNNNNNNNNNNNNNNNNNNNNNNNNNNNNNNNNNNNNNNNNNNNNNNNNNNNNNNUUAUAUACAUGAACAUGCAAUUAAUUAUAUACCUUAACAUGCAACUAGAUAUAUACAUGAACGUAUGCAACUAGGUAUAGACAUGAACAUAUGCAACUAGGUAUAAACAUUAACAUGCAACUAGUAAUAUACCUGAACAUGCAACUAGAUGUAUACAUGAACGUAUAUACAAUUCGAUAUAUAACUGAACACACAACUAGGUAUAGACAUGAUCAUAUACAUCACAUUGAACGUAUACUUCACAUUGAUAACAUCUGAUGAACCGUUCAUUGAGGAUGUAAGUGAAUUUCGCCGGAUUAUAGGAGCAUUAUAAUACAUCACAUUAACGCAUCCAAAUAUCUAGGUAGCGGUCAACCGACUUUUCAAUUCAUAAUGAUACCUCACCCGAUUCAUAGGUUGGCGAUGAAGAGGGUNNNNNNNNNNNNNNNNNNNNNNNNNNNNNNNNNNNNNNNNNNNNNNNNNNNNNNNNNNNNNNNNNNNNNNNNNNNNNNNNNNNNNNNNNNNNNNNNNNNNNNNNNNNNNNNNNNNNNNNNNNNNNNNNNNNNNNNNNNNNNNNGGAGGUUCGCUAGUGUCAUGGAUGUCAUGGAAAGAAAGCUUGCUUGCCCAAUCAACCAUCGAAACUGAGUACAGAGCGGCGGUGAUGACCUUCUCAGAAUCCAGCUAUCCUACGGUCUCACAUCUGUCACACAAUUUACCUUCGAUUUCUACAAUGUCGGGUAAUGAUCUCGAGAAUAGCUAACAAUAGUCUAAUGGAAUUUCUAUCAUAAAACUCACUACAAGAAAACAGACUUGUAAGAAUAGAUUUCACGAUGGCUUAGGGACAGCCCUAUAUCGUUUUUGUCUGUUGUCAUCAAAUGUAAUUACGGUACUGACAUAAUUCUUAGUUUUAUUGUGAAAUUUAUAUACAUGCAUGCAUUAUGUUUUGUACUAUUCAUGAUGUAAAUUUUAAGCUUAUAGGCUCACAGCUGUGUUUUCCUUCCCUCAUACUGUUCGACGAACUACUCACAUCAACCGACUAUGAUAAUCUAGUGUGACAUAAGUCAGUAUUAUUUAUUACCUUAUUGACAACAAUUUUAGUUUUAGUGAUUAAUAAAGUUUAUGCAUAUCGAUUUUAGAUUAUUCAUGAUGUAUUUUGGCUGCCUAAAUGUCUGUUGUCCUACAAUUAACAAAGUACAUAUUUAUAGUGAAGAUGAAAAGAAUCGUGUCCAUAUACAUCGAUCAAAACUAUUUGGGGAAAGUUUAUACAUUUAUCACAUAUGGUUACCUUAUCAAUUAUUAUUCCAAUUAAUUAACGAAAAAAGAUUGGACCUUUUUGAUAUUUCUUAUCUGAAUAUAUACUCACCUUGAUUAUCCUACAUAUACACUCACCUUGAUUAUCAACCAUCGUAUCAUCAAGCCAUCAAGGUAUAUGUGAAUUUUCUUGUAUCGAUUUUCUUUAUUUGUAGAAAUAAUAAAAUACCGUUUAAUUUAUUACUUCUUUCUUGGUGGAUUGAUUUGCAGGUUAAAAUCAUAUGGAGAAUUACAAUUAUCGAAGAUUAAAAUCUGCAUCAUCUCCUAAUAUUUCUCCUAAUCCUAACAACUCAACUGAUCAUCAUAAGCACUACAACAAAUGGAACGAUAUUAUUUUUCUUCUGAGUUUCUUUUUCUCAGUCUUCUUGGUGGUCAUCUUGGUCAUCAUCGUUUCUUGGUUAUGCAAACGACUUAAUUCCAGAAGUCAACAAAGUCGUUCCGGUAUUGCUGGCGGCGGUGUUGGUGUUGGUGAUGGUGAUGGUGGUGGUAAUAAUAACAAUAAUACUGUUAUUGUUAUAAAUAAUGACAAUGACGAUAGCCGUGGUGUUAAUUCCUCUUUAAUACAACAAUUACCUGUGGUCAUCUAUGACAAGUACAUCAUAAAAGAGGAAGGGCUGAUGUGUAGCAUUUGUGUGAUGGAUUUCGAAGAUACAGAGUUUCUCCGGCUGUUACCCAAGUGCGAGCAUGCUUUCCACAGUUUAUGUAUAGAAGAAUGGCUUUCCACAGUUUAUGACAUGUCCUGUCUGUCGGAGUCUUGUUGAAGACACCGACGUCAACCUUAUUCCUUAUAUGAAUAUUACAGGGCAAGAACUACAGGUUAGGUAUGGGUCGGGCCACAUGUUCGACUUAGAUAUUGCUUACGCACUAGAUGCCGCACGUAGGAGUUCACAUCAUCGGCGUCACAAUUUUUAGUCGUCAGUUGUCUAUUAAAUAUAUGACCAUAUCCCUGUUGAAAUAUGAAAUCAUAUUAAACUGAAUUCAAGUAGACCUACAGGUCAGAACAUGACAAUAUAGUUAAAUUUAUUGAUUGAUUGUUAUAAAUUCAAACAGGCAAUGAAUAAAAUGGAUUUUAUAUUUAAUAUUGAAUGUUUAUUUUACAGUUCUCCUAAUAUUAUGUAUGUGCCAUGUUGGAUUUUAAUUUAAUUAAUUAUUCCCAAAUAUCGUGAUUGUAGAGUUCCUGUAUCUCAUCACCCAAUUUCAACAUUCCUCUUCCCUCUUCACUAUUCCACCACUGGCAUAGGAUCGAUAUAUUUUGUAUUUCAUAAUCUCUCGAUAUAUUUUUUCUUAUUUGAUUAUGAUAUCAUCAUUACAAUCUUGUUAAGUUUUAACUAACAAUAAAAGAGACGAAUUGAAAUACGUUAGAUUAGAGAAUUAAUAUUGUCCAUUGGCCAGAUUUAUUAGAUCGACACAAUGAUUUACCAUUGGAGAAGACGCAUGCAUUGAUCGUCUGGAAGUUCUGAUAAGAGGCAGUGAAGGGAGCCAGAGACUAGUCUAUCUUGACAAGACUGCCUCUUGUUGCCCAGCUAUUACCAUUCCAUAAACUAGAGUAAACUCUCUGGGGUUGGUUUUUCAGAUAUUGUACACCGAGUUUCUCUUGAACGUUUCUAAACACUCUAAUGGGUACGUCGUCCACGUACCAUCUACAUAUAUAAAGGAUUGAUCAUGCGUAUUUUUGAGUACGUACGCCAGGUGUUUAUAAGGUUGUAAUUACAUGUUGUUAGUGGGAUUCCAGAUAAUGGUGUAGGUGUGAAAUUAAAGCAGAGCUUCAAACCACAGUUGGAAUAGUUGUUCCCUGUUUCAUUUCCCAUGGCUGUAGAUAUUAGUGUGGAGGGUGUAUGGCCUUCCACUCAGGUUCCCAAGGAACUCAAAAUCUAUCUUGUCAUGAUUAUAUCCCUGGGAUGAUAUCUGCAUAUACGAUAGGUGGAGGAGACUAUGGGAGUAUGCAAAGCUUUUUCAUGCAUUUAGGCGACCAGGCGAUGCAAGGGUGUGCAUAUUGCAUAUAGAAGCGCCUGGUCACAUAUGCGCCUGGUCAUAUAUUGCAUAUUGGACUUUUUUUAAACAUGAAAAGAUUGGAAGAAAAUACCCGUCCUGAAAUCUGGAUAUUCUGACGGGCUGAAAGGAGACGUCCGACGACUGGAAUAAAGGCUCCGGCGAGAAUGAGGGGAGAGGAGUAAGAUCUAGAUUGGGGAGGUGGUGGGAGGGAGGCAACGGUUUUGUUUUUGGAGUUAGGGUUUAGAAAUUUUAAAUAUUGUUAUUGAAUUGGGUUUUUUUAAGGUUCUUAAUUUUUAAUGUAUGAAAAGUUUUAUUUUUCAAAUGUUUAUUAGGUAUAUGGGUCUGGCUUAGCCGGAUCCGACCUAGAUCUGACUAAGACCCAAAAAUAGCGGACCCUCCAAAUAUGCGAUGGGAAAUUUGUGCCGGGUCACAUAUGUGCGCAUAUGCGACUAUAUGCAAAAGCAUGGAGCAUGCAUAAUUUUAUCAAUGAUCAGAUAGAAAGAUGAAAAAAUGAACGUACAUUAUAAGCGGUAACUCUUCCAGCUGAGUUGCCAGGAAUAAUUUUGAUCUAUAUGUCGAUUCUUCGAAACAUGUAUUCCUGUUUGGAUUGAAAUCCUGAUCUGGAUAUUUUAUCACGUAAAAGCUGUAGCAGUCUACGUCUGUCCAUAAUCUCACCUCUACUCCCACCUCAUGUUAUUUCGACAAUGUUGAAGAAAUCAUCCGCCACAGCAUGUGAGACGAGGACGAGAAGAUCUAUAAGAAGAAGAAUAUCGCCAAGAUAGAUCCUCUUUCUCCUCUCCAUCUCUAGCUUGUUGCCUAUAUAUAUACCUAUAUAUAAG